rnacentral:rRNA from 1 species
GAGUUUGAUCGUGGCUCAGAGCGAACGCUGGCGGCAGGCCUAACACAUGCAAGUCGAGCGCCCGGGCAACCGGGAGCGGCAGACGGGAGAGUAACACGUGGGAACGUGCCCUUCAGUUCGGAACAACCCAGGGAAACUUGGGCUAAUACCGAAUACGCCCGCAAGGGGAAAGGAUUUAUCGCUGAAGGAGCGGCCCGCGUCUGAUUAGCUAGUUGGUGAGGUAAACGGCUCACCAAAGGCGACGAUCAGUAGCUGGUCUGAGAGGAUGAUCAGCCUCACU